rnacentral:rRNA from 1 species
GACAGAGGGUGCAAACGUUGUUCGGAAUUACUGGGCGUAAAGCGCGUGUAGGCGGCCCUGCAAGUCGGAUGUGAAAUCCCACGGCUCAACCACGGAAGUGCACCCGAAACUGCGUAGCUGGAGUCUCGGAGAGGAAGGUGGAAUGCUUGGUGUAGAGGUGAAAUUCGUAGAUAUCAAGCGGAACACCGGUGGCGAAGGCGGCCUUCUGGACGAUGACUGACGCUGAGACGCGAAAGCGUGGGGAGCAAACAGG